GCGCCAGACCACAGAAUUAGCAUUCAGCACACCUGCUUGGCUUGGCUUCUUCUCGGAGAGACUCCUUUUGAACUCGUUCUUGUCUCCUGUCGCCUGGGACAGGUGCAGUCUCUGGGGCUUUGUACUCUGCAUGCACUGCCACACGGGGAUGGGUUUUCACCUGGUGCUGGCCCCACCCCCCACCAGUUCUGCAUACUAAUACUGCAGCAUCCCUUUCUCCU
rnacentral:lncRNA from 1 species